rnacentral:rRNA from 1 species
CCUACGGGGGGCUGCAGUGAGGAAUAUUGGUCAAUGGCCGGAAGGCUGAACCAGCCAUGCCGCGUGAAGGUCAGUGCCCUAUGGGCGUUAAACCUCUUUUGUGCGGGAGCAAUAAUGGUCACGUGUGGCCAGACGAGAGUACCGUACGAAUAAGCAUCGGCUAACUCCGUGCCAGCAGCCGCGGUAAUACGGGGGAUGCAAGCGUUAUCCGGAUUUAUUGGGUUUAAAGGGUGCGUAGGCUGUGAGGUAAGUCAGCGGUGAAAUGCCCCCGCUCAACGGGGUGAAGUGCCAUUGAUACUGCCUUGCUGGAGUGCGGAUGCCGUGGGAGGAAUGUGUGGUGUAGCGGUGAAAUGCAUAGAUAUCACGCAGAACACCGAGUGCGAAGGCAUCUCACGGAUCCGCGAUUGACGCUGAUGCACGAAAGCGUGGGUAUCAAACAGGAUUAGAUACCCCAGUAGUC